rnacentral:lncRNA from 1 species
CCCGACGAAACAGGCCAGUAUAGUUUGAUUAACUGAUGUUAAUAAUAUUUCCAUACAUGAUUUCUAUUGACUGCACACGAGUGUGAUUAUGAUCAGAUCAGAUAAUGUUCUUCGACGUCAGGUGGUAAUUCUUAUCUCGCCGCAACAUGUAUAUUAUGAUAUCGGCCUCAAGGAGUUAAUAAAAUACUAAAACGCAAGCACCCCUGAACUUACAGAUGCCUAGACAGUCCCUUAACCCCUCCGCUACAAAAGAUAAAAGCCAGCUACUCAAAUGUAUGUAAAACAUUUUGAGACCAGCUUCAUUACUGCAUGUAUUCGAUAUAUAACCCUCCCUAUAGUUAAUGCAUUUUAUCAAUUAACACUAUAUUAUUCGGACAAUAAACGAAUGAAGAGACAAACGUCAUUUAUCAAGCAUGUAUUGUAACAUUUCCGUGUUUUGCCAUUUCGUUUCAUUAUCAAAUAACUGACAAUUUAUCGCCCUUUGUAUCAACACGCCAUUUGUAAACAUGAGAGUUCAUGAGAAAGGAAACUUUUAAAUCGUAAUUUGACGAUUAAUUUAAAAAGGAUACUGAAUGGUAUUGCGCAUUUUACAGAUCAACUAUUGAUCAACUACCGAGGAGCAUCUGGCAUAUUGGCAUGAUGUUGCUAUGACCUUAAACAAAAAAAAAGGAAUUCUCAAGGCAUGUCUACAUACCACAUGUUGAAAGAAAUGGCUGAAGGAUGAAAGAAUUUUCAGAAAAAUAAAAUGCUUUAGGAAUUUGUGAAUGGAAAUGAUACCAAAGGACGUAACAUAUUUGCUGAGCAUCCAAUUGAAAGUAUGCCAAUAGAAUAAACUGUCACAGAAGUGCACAAAAUAAGGCCAUGUUUUCUGCAAAAGUUCAUUAAGCUGAUUCAGACUACAAAUGGGAGUCAUGAUAAAAGUAAAACUAACUGAACUGUCACAGUUAAACUGUGAGAAGUGUUUGGUAAAAGUAUGGUGUGUUUUCAGAACUUUAAACUUGAAACUUGAGAAUUUUCUUAAACGCCUAUUUUAACACACAAAGCAUCUUCAAAGGCGUUGUACACUCAUGCAUUAAAAACAGUAAAACCAAUUCAUCAGUAUUAACACAAAGUCUUGAUUUGCUUCAAUGUAAUUGCUGUAGUAUGAAUUUUAGAACAAUGAAUAGUAGUCUUUGAA